rnacentral:misc_RNA from 1 species
GAUGAAGAACGUAGCGAAAUGCGAUACUUGGUGUGAAUUGCAGAAUCCCGUGAACCAUCGAGUCUUUGAACGCAAGUUGCGCCCGAAGCCAUUAGGCCGAGGGCACGCCUGCCUGGGUGUCACACGUCGUUGCCCCCCCAUCUACUCCUUCGGGAUUGCGGGGGGCGGAUGAUGGCCUCCCGUGCGCCUCGUCGCGCGGUUGGCAUAAAUGCCAAGUCCUCGGCGACGCACGCCACGACACUCGGUGGUUGCGAAACCUCGGUUGCCCGUCGUGUGCGGUCGUCGCGCAUCGAGGGCUCGAAAAAAUUGCCGGGCUCCGGCUCGGCUUUCAACGCGACCCCAGGUCAGGCGGGGUUACCCGCUGAAUUUAAGCAUAUCAAUAAGCGGAGGA